CAAACUUUCUCUGUUAUAGAGAGUAGAGAACCUGUUUGCUGCAGACAGCUAUGUCAUUUCCUCUUGGUUCCCACCAUCAUCGAGGAACCCCAUGGAUCACCUUCCGGUAAUUUGUUUAAAAGUUUUGCUUUAUUGAGUGAAGUUUGAGCAUUUAAUAUUCAGCUAUUGUUGUCUUUUAACAGGAUAAUGCAGCCAGUCUACAGUGGAUUAUUCUCCCAGUGUCCGUACCUGGACAUUGGACCCUCUGUCCUCUCUUCUGGCCCCUGGAGAGAGCUUGGUGUGAAUGAUGUCCAGGGCCUAACAAAGCAAGGGUGCUCCAACAACUGUGGCUUGUUUGUUUUGAUGGUUAGACCUAAUCAGUAUGAUAUAGCAUUGCUGUUGUCUGUAAAAAUGUUCACUUGCAACAUUAAAACCACGUUAAUUUGUAUUGAAAAAAAUGUAUCCUUGGGAGUACGCC